UGCAGUCGACGAUGAAGGAGGAGCUUGCUCCUCCGGAUUAGUGGCGAACGGGUGAGUAAUACGUGAGCAAUGUGCCCUUGACUCUGGGAUAAGCGCUGGAAACGGCGUCUAAUACCGGAUACGACGAUCGGAGGCAUCUCCUGGUCGUGGAAAGAACUUCGGUCAAGGAUCAGCUCACGGCCUAUCAGCUAGUUGGUGAGGUAACGGCUCACCAAGGCGACGACGGGUAGCCGGCCUGAGAGGGUGACCGGCCACACUGGGACUGAGACACGGCCCAGACUCCUACGGGAGGCAGCAGUGGGGAAUAUUGCACAAUGGGCGCAAGCCUGAUGCAGCAACGCCGCGUGAGGGACGAAGGCCUUCGGGUUGUAAACCUCUUUUAGCAGGGAAGAAGCGAAAGUGACGGUACCUGCAGAAAAAGCACCGGCUAACUACGUGCCAGCAGCCGCGGUAAUACGUAGGGUGCAAGCGUUGUCCGGAAUUAUUGGGCGUAAAGAGCUCGUAGGCGGUUUGUCACGUCUGCUGUGAAAACCCGAGGCUCAACCUCGGGCUUGCAGUGGGUACGGGCAGACUAGAGUGCGGUAGGGGAGAUUGGAAUUCCUGGUGUAGCGGUGGAAUGCGCAGAUAUCAGGAGGAACACCGAUGGCGAAGGCAGAUCUCUGGGCCGUAACUGACGCUGAGGAGCGAAAGCAUGGGGAGCAAACAGGCUUAGAUACCCUGGUAGUCCAUGCCGUAAACGUUGGGAACUAGAUGUGGGGACCAUUCCACGGUCUCCGUGUCGUAGCUAACGCAUUAAGUUCCCCGCCUGGGGGAGUACGGGCCGCAAGGCUAAAACUCAAAGGAAUUGACGGGGGGCCCGCACAAGCGGGCGGAGCAUGGCGGAUUAAUUCCGAUGCAACGCCGAAGAACCUUUACCAAGGCUUUGACAUAUUCCGAAGAACGCCACUGGGAGACAAGUGAACUCUUUUGGACACUCCGUAUACCAGGUGGGUGGCAUGGGUUGGCCGUCA
rnacentral:rRNA from 1 species